UAGCGUAUAUUAAAGUUGUUGCAGUUAAAAAGCUCGUAGUUGAAACUCCGGCGUCUUUGGACGUCUGCCUGGAAGAACUAGCGAUACCGUAAAAAGUUUUGCUUUUUUGAACAGGCUUUUACUGUGAACAAAUUAAAGUGCUCAAAGCAGGCUUUUGCUUGAAUAUUCUAGCAUGGAAUAAUAAAAUAUGACUUUAUUCAUUUUAUUGGUUAUUGAAUGAAGUAAUGAUUAAUAGGAACAGUUGGGGGCAUUCGUAUUUAAUAGUC
rnacentral:rRNA from 1 species